rnacentral:rRNA from 1 species
UUUGUGGCGGCGUGUGUCUAAGUCCCUUGGAACAGGGCGCCAUUGAGGGUGAGAGCCCCGUGCGGCACGCGCUUAAGCUUUAAGACCCUUCUGACGAGUCGAGUUGUUUGGGAAUGCAGCUCUAAGUGGGUGGUAAAUUCCAUCUAAGGCUAAAUACUGGCGAGAGACCGAUAGCGAACAAGUACUGUGAAGGAAAGAUGAAAAGCACUUUGAAAAGAGAGUGAAACAGCACGUGAAAUUGUUGAAAGGGAAGGGUAUUGGGCUCGACAUGGGGACUGCGCACCGUUGCUUCUUGUAGGCGGCGCUCUGUGCGGUUUCUGGGCCAGCAUCAGUUUUUGCCGCGGGAGAAUGGGGGGAGGAACGUGGCUCUUCGGAGUGUUAUAGCCUCUCUCAGAUGCCGCGAGCGGGGACUGAGGUCUGCGAUUCGUUCAAGGAUGCUGGCACAACGGCGCAAUACCGCC